rnacentral:rRNA from 1 species
UGCAUAUCAAUAAGCGGAGGAAAAGAAACUAACAAGGAUUCCCCUAGUAGCGGCGAGCGAAGCGGGAAGAGCUCAAAUUUAUAAUCUGGCACCUUCGGUGUCCGAGUUGUAAUCUCUAGAAGUGUUUUCCGCGUUGGACCGCACACAAGUCUGUUGGAAUACAGCGGCAUAGUGGUGAGACCCCCGUAUAUGGUGCGGACGCCCAACGCUUUGUGAUACACUUUCGAAGAGUCGAGUUGUUUGGGAAUGCAGCUCAAAUUGGGUGGUAAAUUCCAUCUAAAGCUAAAUAUUGGCGAGAGACCGAUAGCGAACAAGUACCGUGAGGGAAAGAUGAAAAGCACUUUGGAAAGAGAGUUAACAGUACGUGAAAUUGUUGGAAGGGAAACGCUUGAAGUCAGACUUGCUUGCCGAGCAAUCGGUUUGCAGGCCAGCAUCAGUUUUCCGGGGUGGAUAAUGGUAGAGAGAAGGUAGCAGUUUCGGCUGUGUUAUAGCUCUUUGCUGGAUACACCUUGGGGGACUGAGGAACGCAGUGUGCCUUACGGCGGAUUUCUCGAGAUCUUCACACUUAGGA